UACUUAUCAAGAAAGGUGGAGGGAAUGGCCCUUUGAAGCCUUAGCAACCGUCUGGUAAAAUAGAAAUGGUGCUAAUUCCAUCCGGCAAUUUAGCCGGGUAGUUAAGUC
rnacentral:ncRNA from 2 species